CCCUUAGACGUUCUGGGCCGCACGCGCGCUACACUGACCAGUGCAACAAGUUUUGUCCUUGGCUGAUAGGCCUGGGUAAUCUUUGAACGUGAAUCGUGAUGGGGAUAGAUGAUUGCAAUUAUUCAUCUUCAACGAGGAAUUCCUAGUAAACGCAAGUCAUCAGCUUGCAUUGAUUACGUCCCUGCCCUUUGUACACACCGCCCGUCGCACCUACCGAUUGAAUGGUCCGGUGAAAUCUUCGGAUCUGAGAGAUGUCUGAUUAAUUUCGGACGCCUUUUGGAAAAGUUGUUUAAACCUUACCAUUUAGAGGAAGGUGAAGUCGUAACA
rnacentral:rRNA from 1 species